ACCUGUCCAGCAGACAGUCAAAAGCAGCAGUCCUGUCCUGUAGUCCAUCAUGUCAAACUGUGUGUCCACUGUCCUCUGGACACGUGUGAUGGUCA